UAAUGCCUAGGAAUCUGCCUGGUAGUGGGGGAUAACSUUCGGAAACGGACGCUAAUACCGCAUACGUCCUACGGGAGAAAGCAGGGGACCUUCGGGCCUUGCGCUAUCAGAUGAGCCUAGGUCGGAUUAGCUAGUUGGUGGGGUAAUGGCUCACCAAGGCGACGAUCCGUAACUGGUCUGAGAGGAUGAUCAGUCACACUGGAACUGAGACACGGUCCAGACUCCUACGGGAGGCAGCAGUGGGGAAUAUUGGACAAUGGGCGAAAGCCUGAUCCAGCCAUGCCGCGUGUGUGAAGAAGGUCUUCGGAUUGUAAAGCACUUUAAGUUGGGAGGAAGGGUUGUAGAUUAAUACUCUGCAAUUUUGACGUUACCGACAGAAUAAGCACCGGCUAACUCUGUGCCAGCAGCCGCGGUAAUACAGAGGGUGCAAGCGUUAAUCGGAAUUACUGGGCGUAAAGCGCGCGUAGGUGGUUUGUUAAGUUGGAUGUGAAAUCCCCGGGCUCAACCUGGGAACUGCAUUCAAAACUGACUGACUAGAGUAUGGUAGAGGGUGGUGGAAUUUCCUGUGUAGCGGUGAAAUGCGUAGAUAUAGGAAGGAACACCAGUGGCGAAGGCGACCACCUGGACUAAUACUGACACUGAGGUGCGA
rnacentral:rRNA from 1 species